rnacentral:lncRNA from 1 species
GUUUGUUAGCUAUCUAGAAGUUGUCCAGGGCUCCCUGAGGGAGGCCAGCACAAGAGCUCUGCCAUAAAAGGACAUUGGACAGAAGUGAAGAGUCCAAUCAGAAACUCUUUUUGAGAGACUGAACGCAAAGCAUUCAGAGAGUCAGCAGGCUGGAGAGGCCAAGACACACACACGAAGAAGGCAGGACACUCUUCUCCUCCUGCGGUUGGACUCCAGGCUCUAUGACCUUCAAACUCCAGGACUUACACCAGUUGCCCCUGGGCACUCAGGACUUCUGCUUCAGACUGACAGUUGCAGGACAGUGCAGCAUUUUAUUUUAAAGAUACCCCACAACGUAGGUGGCCAGUCCUGCUGCAGGUGCGGUUUCAAGCCUUUGGAGUUUGACCUUCUAGUCCAAGGUCAUUACAGCUGCAGGCAGAGGCUCCCGCGGGGAAAAGAGCAUUUCCUGGGACGCUGGAACUAAAUGAAUGGCCCACUCUCCAGUUCAGCCCUUGCCUCCUUCCCGACACAUAAAGUUCAAGAGCCACGGUCCUGAGUGCAUAGGAACAGCCCCAUCACCCUUCUCCCUCUGGGCAAGCUAGGAGCAGCGGUGCGAGGCUCCAUUUCUUCUUCUCUGCCUCCUGGACCUCAGCCACCUCUGCUCAGGCACAGGCCAGCUGCCCAGGCGUCCUCAUCUGGCGACCAGCUCUGACCGCAGCCCUGGUCUGCUCUCGGGGUCGGGCCCACACCCCUCUUCUUCCUCCUCUUCCUCCCAAGGCCUGGGCUCGGGUCCCUCUUCUCACCUUUCCCUUUCUUGCGUUGCAACCGUAACUUGGGAAAACCCUUCUUGAUCUUCCUCUCUCACCUCCUUUCAAACACAUGCUUGCAGGCUUUUUCCCGAUCUCAUCCUUAGGGCAGAUACGCUCCCUUGAUUCUGAGGUCUUUGAACUUGCUGUGAAGCCACACUACCUGCGUCCCAGGGUCUCCAGCUUGCAGAUGGACUGUGGUGGGACUUCUCAGUCACCAAGGUCGUAUUGAGAGCUGUACUAGCCUGGCAUGCAGACAGCAGCUUUAGAAUCAGAUCUGCCUUCUGGCGGCUUCCCACCUAGGAGCCAUGGGACCUUUGUGAAGUCACCAAUUGUGCUGUGGAUGCUUCAUUUGUGAAGGAGAACAGGACUGCCUUGUGAAAUUACGGAUGGUGCUACUAAAACAUAUCAAUAAUUUGAAUUUCACUUUUGUGGAUGCUUUAAACAUCAUAGUCAUUAGAAGGUGGAUCUGGCUGAUUGUACUUUAAGUUUUCAGUUUGAGCUGGAGCUUUGUAUUAUAACAGGAGGGUACUGGACAAGGUGAGUUGCUGAUAGCCUCCCCCCACCUGCCAACAGACCUAUCAUUAGAUGGAAUGUAAUGGACUUUGGCCAGUUGUUCUCCACCCCAGCUCUGACUUAGCGGCUCUGGCAAGAAUGGAUAUAUGAGCCUAAAUACAGAGCUUGUUGUGCUACUUUUGGCUUUCCUUGUCAUUAUUUCUUCCUCUAAAUUCAACAAAUCAUUACUUCCUCUUUUAUUAUGUUUUAGUAUGAGUGUUUUAAUACCACAGAUAUUCAAAAUAAGCCUGUGGGAGACACUGGGUUAUGAGGUGAUCAUACAUUGUUCCUUUAAUUUUCAGAACAACACAAUAAGAUAGGGACCCUGUCCCAGAGAUGACUACAUUGAAGUUCAGAGAGUUUAAGUAACUUGCCCAAAGUCACAUCGCUAGUGAAUAGCAAAACGAGGAUUCAAGCCUAGGCCUGCCUAUUUUCAAAGUUUAUGGAAGGAAUUAAAACAUUUCUUAGUCUAAUUUUCUCGGAGUUUUGUUCUGCUUUGUUUUGUUUUGUUUGGCUUACUUUCUUCAUCAGCCUAAUACCUGCUUCAAGUCUAAGUGAAGCUUUCACCUCUGCCUGGAAGUCUUCCCUGUCCCUGUAGGCUGUCAGGUGGCCUUCUCCCAGCCCCCAUAGCAUCCAGCAUAGAAGCUGAUCACAGCACUUACCACCCAGUGAAAAGUGUGGGCACAGUCCUGUCGGCCCCUUCCUCCUAGACUGUGCACCCUUGGGCAGCAUGCUUUGCUUCCACAACACUUGCUACUUAGCAGGGGCUCAGGGCAAAUGUGUGGACUUGAGCUGCCAAAUUGAAGCCAUAGGUCAAUAUUAGAACUAAACACUAGUGCUAAAGUGAAAACUUUAAGAUGCACAUAGACCAGUAAUCCCCAAAUGUGUUUGCUGAGGAGUGUGUGUGUGUGUGUGUGUGUGUGUGUGUGUGUGUGUGAAGAGACUGUGUACCACUGGCUUUUUCUCUCCUGUCAUACUUUCACUCCUGAUGGACUAGGCCUAUGGAGUGUUCAUUUUUCUCCCUGAACAUUAGACAUCUCUCUGCUGCCUUUAAAUAAAAUUCCUCAUUUUACCUCUCCUCUUCUUUUCUUUAUUUCCUUUGCUUCAGACAAGAUAUGAGCCCUUAACUCACCAUAAUUAACCUCACAAUGGGCUACUGUUUGUUUCAUAUUGGAGACCACAAGAUGGAUCAGAUAAUAGUCCAAUAUUUUUGGACUACAAUUUCCAAUAUUAUUCCAAUAUUGCUGGAAUAUUAUUCCAGUAUCAUCUACUAUUUUCCCGAUAUUAUUAUUGGAAAAUAAUAGCAUAGCUAUUAUAUAGAAUAUUUACCCUGUGCCAGGGACUGUUUCAAGCACUUUACUUACAUUAACUCAUUUAAUCUUCACAACAACUUUAUGAGAUUCAUACUAUUAGUAUCAACAUUUUACAGAUGAGGAAACUGAGGUACAGAUGGGAAACUUGCUCAAGUUCACACAGCAAUUAAGUGAUCAAGUCCAAGAGCAAAACCAGGCAGGCUGGCUCCAGAGCUCACGAUAGUCCACCACUGCUUUCCACCAUCACUACGGAAUCAAGUCCAUGAGGAUACUCACCUUAUGUCAGUUGCCUAAGUUGGAAAUUAUAGAAUCUUCAAAUUGGAAGGGACGUUAUCAUCCAAGAUUUCAACUUUCUACUCACUGCAAAAUCCCUUCUGGAACUUCCCAGAUUGAUGAAUUUUCAUCAGCUCUGCUUGAGUACUCCCAGUGACUUGGAAAAAAAACACUGUAAUAUGGAUAUGAAAUAUAAACUGUUCAUGGAUAAAUUAUUGCAUAAUAAAAACAUGCCUAAUGGCUACACUCCCCUAAUAU